ACCACGGGGAUGCUUAGUACGGCGAGUGAAGCGGCAAAAGCUCAAUUUGAAAACGCUUCGGCGUGUUGUAAGUAAAGUGGUUAGACGCUUUUUAAUAAGUCCCUUGGAACAGGGCGCCAUAGAGGGUGAUAGCCCCGUAUUAAAUUGUCUAGUGUGCUACUUUAGAGCGAGUCGAGUUGUUUGGGAAUGCAGCUCAAAUAGGUGGUAAACUCCAUCUAAAGCUAAAUAUUGCUGGGAGACCGAUAGCGAACAAGUACAGUGAUGGAAAGAUGAAAAGCACUUUGAAAAGAGAGUGAAAUAGCGUGUGAAAUUGUUGGAGGGGAAGGCGAUGGUAGGAAUAAGAGGCUGCGGUUUGAAAUAAUUGUUUUUCGGGCCACGGUCUCCUGAGCCUGCUUUCGCACCCGUCUUGAAAAACGGACCAAA
rnacentral:rRNA from 1 species